AGUUAUCUCCUCGGCCGGAGAGAUGCUACUAGCGUCCUGGUCGUCCAGAUCCUCCGGCUCUUCGACCUGCUCCCCGAGCUCCUCCGGGCCUUGCAGAGCCAUGGCGACGGCCCGACACGGUCACUCAGGCGCUCCGGAGAAUGUUAACGGGAGAAACUACGGUGGACUUGAAACGUGUAAGACCCGGUCGGUUCAAAAUGAACUGCCCCCUCGCCUGGAAAGUGGACGAGUGCAGGCGGCGGCAGCAGCAGGAGGUGGUGACAAAAAGCUGCAGUCAAGUGACAGUUUACAGCAGCAUUCCAAGAAUAAACAGGAAGUCUCAAAAUGUUUGCAUCCUGUUAGAUCAUCUUUAAGCUAUGUGUGUUUUGCCGACCACGUUUGGAUAAAUAGACUUUGUUAUUAUUAUGAACCGCACAAAAUAAGGUCUGUUAACAGAUUAAACCUUCAUUGCACAACAUGAGACAUUAAACAGCCAACAAUCUGGA